ensembl:lncRNA
CUUUCUUCUCCUACAGUAUAACACUAAGGCAAGGCAGAUUUUCACAUUGAGAGAUUCUUCAAGCUUUCUUCUCCUACAGUAUAACACUAAGGCAAGGCAGAUUGUUCCAUUUUGAUUUACAGCAACCAGGUAUAUCUCAAUGACCUGGCGGACAUUUCUAGCCUCUUUAUUUUGAAUUCUCACACUAUCUCACUGGUGGAAAACUUUGGAAGUUGUCUCAAAAUAAAGGUCCAUAUUUGGAUUUUCUUCACUGAUUUCUUUCAUUUCGAUCUCUCACCGAUGGACGGAUCUGAACUCAGUCAUGAAUUUAGAAUUUCAGAACAUGCAAAUGGAAAAACGCCAGAAAAGAUUUGGUGAAUGUAAUUAGCACACGAGACAUCAGAAUAUAAUAAAGACCGGCAGUACGUGCAUGCCUUAUAGUUGAUAUUUAG